CUGGACUGUAACUGACGCUGAGGCUCGAAAGCGUGGGGAGCGAACAGGAUUAGAUACCCUGGUAGUCCACGCUGUAAACGAUGAUUACUAGGUGUGGGGGGACUGACCCCUUCCGUGCCGCAGUUAACACAAUAAGUAAUCCACCUGGGGAGUACGGCCGCAAGGUUGAAACUCAAAGGAAUUGACGGGGGCCCGCACAAGCAGUGGAGUAUGUGGUUUAAUUCGAAGCAACGCGAAGAACCUUACCAGGUCUUGACAUCGUAUGCAUAGUCUAGAGAUAGAUGAAACCUCUUCGGAGGCAUAUAGACAGGUGGUGCAUGGUUGUCGUCAGCUCGUGUCGUGAGAUGUUGGGUUAAGUCCCGCAACGAGCGCAACCCUUACCUUUAGUUGCUACGCAAGAGCACUCUAAAGGGACUGCCGUUGACAAAACGGAGGAAGGUGGGGAUGACGUCAAAUCAUCAUGCCCCUUAUGACCUGGGCUACACACGUACUACAAUGGCAAUUAACAAAGAGAAGCAAGACGGUGACGUGGAGCGAAUCUCCAAAAAUUGUCCCAGUUCAGAUGCAGGCUGCAACUCGCCUGCAUGAAGUCGGAAUUGC
rnacentral:rRNA from 1 species